AAAGUGCAAGCUUUGCGACGCCCCGUUAACGUAGACUUUGUCGGAGAGUACUGCCAGGUUAUGAAACCACUUGCAGACGCACUGGAUAUUUUAUAAGGGGACAAAAACAUGUAUCUAGGAUACCUACUCCCCAUAAUUGCAGCACUGAAACGCAAGCUGACAUCACUACGUGGACUGGAGUACUGCGAGCCGCUGAAAACAAUUGAAUCGCAGAUCUCGAAAAACGGUUUGGUGACAGAAUGAGGGACACCCCACUCGUAGUCAACGCUGUGCUGUUGCUGCAGUUCAAGAUGCAGUGGAUCGCAGAAGCUCAGCGGGGGUUGAUCACUCAGCUAAUGAAAGAUGAAGUGGCGCGCCUGCCCCAAAAUGUCGAGCCCUCUACCCAGGCGUCGCCCGAAAGUGCUGAAACAUCAGCUGAAGAUUUUUUCGGCUUCAAAGACUUUGGGUUUGGGGAACAAGGGGAAUGAUGUGGUGCAUCACAAGAGCUGGCAAGAUAUCUGUCGGACACUGCCGGAAAAGGUCACGGACAUCCUCAACUACCCUUCUCUGCAUCAGCUCUUCUUGCGGUACAGCGUGGCAGUGCCGUCUCUAGUGCCGCGGUUGAGCAACUUUUUAGCAUAGGCGAUGUCUUCCAGCGCAAACGAGGACGGCUGUCUGA